GACGAACGCUGGCGGCGUGUUUAACACAUGCAAGUCGAACGAAGUGGCGAACGGGUGAGUAACGCGUAAUCAACCUGCCCUUCAGAGGGGGACAACAGUUGGAAACGACUGCUAAUACCGCAUACUGAAGGCGGGGGUUGCGGCUGAUUAGCUAGAUGGUGGGGGAACGGCCCACCAAGGCGAUGUUCAGUAGCCGGUCUGAGAGGAUGAACGGCCACAGUGGGACUGAGACACGGCCCAGACUCCUACGGGAGGCAGCAGUGGGGAAACUUCCGCAAUGGACGAAAGUCUGACGGAGCAACGCCGCGUGAGUGAUGACGGCCUUCGGGUUGUAAAGCUCUGUUAAUCGGGACGCGGUACCGGAAUAGAAAGCCACGGCUAACUACGUGCCAGCAGCCGCGGUAAUAC
rnacentral:rRNA from 1 species